rnacentral:rRNA from 1 species
GUGCCAGCAGCCGCGGUAAGACGUAGGAUGCAAGCGUUGUCCGGAUUUAUUGGGCGUAAAGAGUUCGUAGGCGGUUCGUUAAGUCUGAUGUUAAAGACUGGGGCUCAACCCCGGGAGUGCAUUGGAUACUGGCGGACUGGAGUGUGGUAGAGGCUAGUGGAAUUCCCAGUGUAGCGGUGAAAUGCGUAGAUAUUGGGAAGAACACCAGUGGCGUAGGCGACUAGCUGGGCCAUAACUGACGCUGAGGAACGAAAGCCAGGGGAGCGAAUGGGAUUAGAUACCCCAGUAGUCCUGGCCGUAAACGAUGGAUACUAGGCGUAGUGGGUAUCGACCCCUACUGUGCCGCAGCUAACGCGAUAAGUAUCCCGCCUGAGUAGUACGGCCGCAAGGUUGAA